rnacentral:rRNA from 1 species
UGGCUCAGGACGAACGCUGGCGGCGUGCUUAACACAUGCAAGUCGAACGAUGAAGCCCUUCGGGGUGGAUUAGUGGCGAACGGGUGAGUAACACGUGGGCAAUCUGCCCUUCACUCUGGGACAAGCCCUGGAAACGGGGUCUAAUACCGGAUAACACUCUGUCCCGCAUGGGACGGGGUUAAAAGCUCCGGCGGUGAAGGAUGAGCCCGCGGCCUAUCAGCUUGUUGGUGGGGUAAUGGCCUACCAAGGCGACGACGGGUAGCCGGCCUGAGAGGGCGACCGGCCACACUGGGACUGAGACACGGCCCAGACUCCUACGGGAGGCAGCAGUGGGGAAUAUUGCACAAUGGGCGAAAGCCUGAUGCAGCGACGCCGCGUGAGGGAUGACGGCCUUCGGGUUGUAAACCUCUUUCAG